GAUGAACGCUGGCGGCGUGCUUAACACAUGCAAGUCGAACGGAAAGGCCCAAGCUUGCUUGGGUACUCGAGUGGCGAACGGGUGAGUAACACGUGGGUGAUCUGCCCUGCACUUCGGGAUAAGCCUGGGAAACUGGGUCUAAUACCGGAUAGGACGAUGGUUUGGAUGCCAUUGUGGAAAGUUUUUUCGGUGUGGGAUGAGCUCGCGGCCUGUCAGCUUGUUGGUGGGGUAAUGGCCUACCAAGGCGUCGACGGGUAGCCGGCCUGAGAGGGUGUACGGCCACAUUGGGACUGAGAUACGGCCCAGACUCCUACGGGAGGCAGCAGUGGGGAAUAUUGCACAAUGGGCGCAAGCCUGAUGCAGCGACGCCGCGUGGGGGAUGACGGCCUUCGGGUUGUAAACUCCUUUCGCUAGGGACGAAGCGUUUUUGUGACGGUACCUGGAGAAGAAGCACCGGCUAACUACGUG
rnacentral:rRNA from 1 species